rnacentral:rRNA from 1 species
CCUACGGGGGGCAGCAGUGGGGGAUAUUGCACAAUGGGGGAAACCCUGAUGCAGCGACGCCGCGUGGGUGAAGAAGUAUUUCGGUAUGUAAAGCCCUAUCAGCAGGGAAGCAAGUGACGGUACCUGAGGAAUAAGCCACGGCUAACUACGUGCCAGCAGCCGCGGUAAUACGUAGGUGGCAAGCGUUAUCCGGAUUUACUGGGUGUAAAGGGAGCGUAGACGGCGACGCAAGUCUGAAGUGAAAUGCCAGUGCUCAACACUGGAACUGCUUUGGAAACUGUGUGGCUAGAGUGCAGGAGAGGUAAGUGGAAUUCCUAGUGUAGCGGUGAAAUGCGUAGAUAUUAGGAGGAACACCAGUGGCGAAGGCGGCUUACUGGACUGUAACUGACGUUGAGGCUCGAAGGCGUGGGGAGCAAACAGGAUUAGAUACCCCAGUAGUC